rnacentral:rRNA from 1 species
UACGUAGGGGGCUAGCGUUGUCCGGAUUUAUUGGGCGUAAAGAGCUCGUAGGCGGUUUGUCGCGUCUGCUGUGAAAACUGGAGGCUCAACCUCCAGCCUGCAGUGGGUACGGGCAAACUAGAGUGCGGUAGGGGAGAUUGGAAUUCCUGGUGUAGCGGUGGAAUGCGCAGAUAUCAGGAGGAACACCGGUGGCGAAGGCGGGUCUCUGGGCAGUAACUGACGCUGAGGAGCGAAAGCGUGGGGAGCGAACAGG